UACGUAGGGUGCGAGCGUUGUCCGGAAUUAUUGGGCGUAAAGAGCUCGUAGGCGGUGUGUCACGUCGGCCGUGAAAACCUGCAGCUUAACUGUGGGCGUGCGGUCGAUACGGGCAUCACUGGAGUUCGGCAGGGGAGACUGGAAUUCCUGGUGUAGCGGUGAAAUGCGCAGAUAUCAGGAGGAACACCGGUGGCGAAGGCGGGUCUCUGG
rnacentral:rRNA from 1 species